rnacentral:lncRNA from 1 species
GUCACAUUCAGCAAAGCAGGCAUGGAAACAUCAUAAUAGUACUUAUUUUUCUUCUUUAUAUUCUUCUGUUCUCUUUAAUUCCACUAGAAAUUGAAUCAUCUGUGAAAACAAAAGCAGAGGCUCUUGUAAGAUGGAAGAACACCUUAUUAUCUCAUGAUUUUUACCAUUCAUGGAACCUCAACAACCAUACGAAUCUCUCCAUAUGGCAAGGAAUUGUGUACAACACUGGGGGUUCAAAACUGAGGUAAAAUUUAUCUCAUGCAAACAUUAAUGGC